rnacentral:rRNA from 1 species
UACGGGGGGGGCAAGCGUUGUUCGGAAUUACUGGGCGUAAAGGGCUCGUAGGCGGCCAACUAAGUCGGACGUGAAAUCCCCAGGCUCAACCUGGGAACUGCGUCCGAUACUGGAUGGCUUGAGUCCGGGAGAGGGAUGCGGAAUUCCAGGUGUAGCGGUGAAAUGCGUAGAUAUCUGGAGGAACACCGGUGGCGAAGGCGGCAUCCUGGACCGGCAUUGACGCUGAGGCGCGAAAGCCAGGGGAGCAAACGGG